CUGUGGCCUAACGGAUAAAGCGUCUGUCUCCUAAAUUGGUUAAUUUUGGUUAACAGAAGAUUGUGGGUUCGAAUCCCACCU
rnacentral:tRNA from 1 species